UAGGCCUCUUAAUAUAUAUGUCUCCCCUCUUCCACUCAUUUUUAUUUUUGUUUUUGUUCAUUUCUUUGUUGUUCUUUUGCUUUGUUUUUUUUUCUUAAA
rnacentral:ribozyme from 1 species